AGAGUUUGAUUAUGGCUCAGGAUGAACGCUGGCGGCGUGCUUAACACAUGCAAGUCGAACGAUUAACCCAUCUUCGGAUGGUUAUAGAGUGGCGAACGGGUGAGUAACACGUGACCAACCUGCCUUUCACAUUGGGAUAACCCAGGGAAACUUGUGCUAAUACCAAAUACUCCGGUACUUCCGCAUGCUAGUACCGGGAAAGCUCCGGCGGUGAAAGAUGGGGUCGCGGCCCAUUAGGUAGUUGGUGGGGUAACGGCCUACCAAGCCCGCGAUGGGUAGCCGGGUUGAGAGACUGAUCGGCCACAUUGGGACUGAGAUACGGCCCAGACUCCUACGGGAGGCAGCAGUGGGGAAUUUUGCGCAAUGGGGGCCAACCCUGACGCAGCAACGCCGCGUGCGGGAUGACGGCCUUCGGGUUGUAAACCGCUUUCAGUAGGGAAGAAAUUGACGGUACCUACAGAAGAAGCUCCGGCUAAAUACGUGCCAGCCGCCGC
rnacentral:rRNA from 1 species